UUCAUGAGAACCUCUGCAUGCACAGCAGCUCAGUGCACAUCCUAUCAGUUUAUUCAUGUCAGGUCACAGGUCUACAAACACUUGCACAUCCAUCCCGCAGUUUUUCAAGAGAAGAAGAGAUAAAGACAGCA